CACGGGGGGGAGCAAGCGUUGUUCGGAAUCACUGGGCGUAAAGGGCGUGUAGGCGGUCAAGUAAGUGGAAUGUGAAAGCCCCCCGGCUUACCCGGGGAUCUGCAUCCCAAACUGCUUGGCUUGAGUACGGGAGAGGAUAGGGGAAUUCCUGGGUGUAGCGGUGAAAUGCGUAGAUAUCGGGAGGAACACCAGUGGCGAAGGCGACUACCUGGCCUGUUCUUGACGCUGAGGCGCGAAAGCUAGGGGAGCAAACGGGG
rnacentral:rRNA from 1 species